AGGACGAACGCUGGCGGCGUGCUUAACACAUGCAAGUCGAGCGGUAAGGCCCUUUCGGGGGUACACGAGCGGCGAACGGGUGAGUAACACGUGGGUGACCUGCCCUCAGCUCUGGGAUAAGCCUGGGAAACUGGGUCUAAUACCGGAUAUUCACUUCUCCAUCGCAUGGUGGGUUGUGGAAAGUUUUUUCGGCUGGGGAUGGGCCCGCGGCCUAUCAGCUUGUUGGUGGGGUGAUGGCCUACCAAGGCGACGACGGGUA
rnacentral:rRNA from 1 species